GAUGAACGCUGGCGGCGUGCCUAAUACAUGCAAGUCGAGCGAACGGACGAGAAGCUUGCUUUUCUGAUGUUAGCGGCGGACGGGUGAGUAACACGUGGAUAACCUACCUAUAAGACUGGGAUAACUUCGGGAAACCGGAGCUAAUACCGGAUAAUAUUUUGAACCGCAUGGUUCAAAAGUGAAAGACGGUCUUGCUGUCACUUAUAGAUGGAUCCGCGCUGCAUUAGCUAGUUGGUAAGGUAACGGCUUACCAAGGCAACGAUGCAUAGCCGACCUGAGAGGGUGAUCGGCCACACUGGAACUGGGACACGGUCCAGACUCCUACGGGAGGCAGCAGUAGGGAAUCUUCCGCAAUGGGCGAAAGCCUGACGGAGCAACGCCGCGUGAGUGAUGAAGGUCUUCGGAUCGUAAAACUCUGUUAUUAGGGAAGAACAUAUGUGUAAGUAACUGUGCACAUCUUGACGGUACCUAAUCAGAAAGCCACGGCUAACUACGUGC
rnacentral:rRNA from 1 species